UGAGGAAUAUUGGUCAAUGGGUGCAAGCCUGAACCAGCCAUCCCGCGUGAAGGACGACUGCCCUAUGGGUUGUAAACUUCUUUUGUAUAGGGAUAAACCUACCCUCGUGAGGGUAGCUGAAGGUACUAUACGAAUAAGCACCGGCUAACUCCGUGCCAGCAGCCGCGGUAAUACGGAGGGUGCAAGCGUUAUCCGGAUUUAUUGGGUUUAACGGGUGCGUAGGUGGGCUUAUAAGUCAGUGGUGAAAUCUCCGAGCUUAACUUGGAAACUGCCGUUGAUACUAUAGGUCUUGAAUUAUCUGGAGGUAAGCGGAAUAUGUCAUGUAGCGGUGAAAUGCUUAGAUAUGACAUAGAACACCAAUUGCGAAGGCAGCUUACUACAUAUAAAUUGACGCUGAGGCACGAAAGCGUGGGGAUCAAACA
rnacentral:rRNA from 1 species